rnacentral:rRNA from 1 species
UACCAGCACCCCGAGUGGUCGGGACGUUUUAUUGGGCCUAAAGCAUCCGUAGCCGGUUCUGCAAGUCCCCCGUUAAAUCCAGCUGCUCAACAGAUGGGCCGCGGAGGAUACUACAGAGCUAGGAGGCAGGAGAGGCAAGCGGUACUCAGUGGGUAGGGGUAAAAUCCGUUGAUCCAUUGAAGACCACCAGUGGCGAAGGCGGCUUGCCAGAAUGCGCUCGACGGUGAGGGAUGAAAGCUGGGGGGAGCAAACAGG